GAGGAGGAACAGGAGGAGGAGGAAGGGAGGAAGAAAAGGAAAAAUAUUAGCCCGCUGUGGUGGCACACACCUAUAGUCCCAGCUAUUUGGGACGCUGAGGCCAGAAGACCCCUUGAGGCCAGGAGUUUGAGGCUGCAGUGAGCCAUGAUUAUGCUACUGUGCUCCAGCUUGUGAGACAGAGUGAUAUCUUAUGUCAAAAAUAAAUAAAUAAGUAUUGGUGAAAAUACAAUAGGAUAAAAUUGCAAGCCAUAGGAAAUGGAACUCUAGCACAUACAGAGAGAUGGUAAUCUUGUGAAGCAACAGUGUAUUGAAAUUAUGAAAUAAGAGUUUUUCAUGCAAAUGUGAGGAAUUUGCUGAGGACAAGUAAGAAGGCCAAUUCCUAUUGUGCAAAUCCUCUGGUCACUGGCUUCAACUAAUAAGGACAAGCAAAAGCACAGGAAGUCAUUUCCCUCCUACGAAGAUCAUUGCAAUGAGUGGGAACUGGUGCUUUCUGUGGCUCACGCCCAGUGGGUCUGAGGGGAAAUAGAAUCAAUAAAACGUUAAACAUAGUAAGUGCUAAAUGAACACUUCAUGAAUUGAAAGCUGACUAGAAAGCCAGCUAUG
rnacentral:lncRNA from 1 species